rnacentral:rRNA from 1 species
CCUACGGGAGGCAGCAGUAGGGAAUAUUGCUCAAUGGGGGAAACCCUGAAGCAGCAACGCCGCGUGGAGGAUGAAGGUUUUCGGAUUGUAAACUCCUUUUGUUAGAGAAGAUAAUGACGGUAUCUAACGAAUAAGCACCGGCUAAUUCCGUGCCAGCAGCCGCGGUAAUACGGCGGGUGCAAGCGUUACUAGGAAUCACUGGGCGUAAAGAGCGCGUAGGCGGGAAAGCAAGUCAGAUGUGAAAUCCUAGGGCUUAACCAUAGAACUGCAUUUGAUACUGUUAUUCUAGAGUAUGGGAGAGGUAGGUAGAAUUCUUGGUGUAGGGGUAAAAUCCGUAGAGAUCAAGAGGAAUACUCAUGGCGAAGGCGACCUGCUAGAACAUUACUGACGCUGAUGCGCGAAAGCGUGGGGAGCAAACAGGAUUAGAUACCCCAGUAGUC